CGGUAACAGAAGAGCUUGCUCUUGCUGACGAGUGGCGCACGGGUGCGUAACGCGUAUGCAACCUACCCUGAUCAGGGGGAUAGCCCAGAGAAAUUUGGAUUAAUACCCCAUAAUAUUGUUGAUUGGCAUCAAUUAAUGAUUAAAACUCCGGUGGAUCAGGAUGGGCAUGCGUCCUAUUAGCUAGUUGGUUUGGUAACGGCAGACCAAGGCUACGAUAGGUAGGGGUUCUGAGAGGAUGAUCCCCCACACUGGUACUGAGACACGGACCAGACUCCUACGGGAGGCAGCAGUGAGGAAUAUUGGACAAUGGGCGCAAGCCUGAUCCAGCCAUGCCGCGUGCAGGAUGACUGCCCUAUGGGUUGUAAACUGCUUUUAUACAGGAAUAAACCCCCCAACGUGUUGGGGGCUGAAGGUACUGUAAGAAUAAGGAUCGGCUAACUCCGUGCCAGCAGCCGCGGUAAUACGGAGGGUGCGAGCGUUAAUCGGAAUUACUGGGCGUAAAGCGCACGCAGGCGGUUAUAUAAGCUAGAUGUGAAAGCCCCGGGCUCAACCUGGGAAUAGCAUUUAGAACUGUAUGACUAGAGUCUUGGAGAGGGGAGUGGAAUUCCAGGUGUAGCG
rnacentral:rRNA from 1 species